AACUUCUUAUUCAUCAAGAGCCAAAAGUUAAAUCCAAGUAGAAGAGGCACAUUUACGUGAUGACGUAGAGGAAUGAUAGUCCAACUAGGGGGAUGAUGAGAAAAAAAGUUUCUAUACUUGUUAUCUUGUGAACGGGAGAAUGUAUAGACUACGGAUUAAUGAAGGUAGCUACAACAAUGCUAUUAGUUCUAUAUUGAUUGACAAGUUAGGCUUGACAUGCAUAAUACACUCUUAUCCCUAUAAGUU
rnacentral:lncRNA from 1 species